CAUAACUCUUUAUGUUCCCCCUCCUCCCAAUAUCAUUCUUUUCUUUUUUUUUUCUUUUGCCCUGAUGUUUUCCUUCUUUUU
rnacentral:ribozyme from 1 species